CAUCUAGUGCUGCAAUAAGUGCAUCUCUCUGUUAACCCCUUUCAGCUGGGGCCACAAAAGGCUUGGGAAGAGCCCUUUGAACCCCUUCUGGGAAGUGUAUUGCAUAAGCAACAAGCAAGCAUUUCUAAAAUCAACCUCUUGUGCAGUCAAGGUCAAAAGAAAGAUGGAAAUACUCAGAAAGGAUCACAAGCAGGAGUAUAUUUGAUAACAGAUGGUAAAACUGCAAAACUGUCUCCGCUUCAUUAGCGCCCCUGGCAAGCCUUCCUAUAUAAGUGUCAGAUACUCGUCCUUCAAAAGUCACCCACUGAGGAAAGCAGAUUCUUCUUUGUGAAGGAUGUGAAGGGGAAACAUGAAGGAAAAGUAAGUGAGAGUUUUGCUUUUCCCCUUACAGAUUGAAGCAGUACAGCAUAUAACAGGAUUGCAAGUCAAGCUGUUGAGGACUUUCCACAUGAUUCCAACCAGCUUUUAUUUAAAACCAGUAAAAAUGUUUAUUUGGAAGGACUACAAUAGCUUUCCUGAGGGUUCACUAAAAGAGCUUAACUGUCCAAUUUGAAUGUGAGCAAUAGUGCACAAUCUCAGCUGAAUGCUCCUUGUUCUCAAACACUGACUAACCCAAGGAAUGUGAAUUAACACAAACACAACUUUAUCCUGCUGUGGAGGAGGAGGAGGAGGAGGAAGGGGAAUAAAUAUGUUAGAUUACCUGCAGGCCAAACUCCCUAGGAAGUCAGUGGGAGCUUUACUAGUGGAAGGACAGCAUGACCAGACAUAAAUAUAAAGGCGAGAGGAUGCUAAGAAAAUAUUUUCCACACUUUUGUUUGGGAUUCAUGAAGUCUAGUAAGUACAGAGGGCAGGAACACUAUUACAGUGAAACUCUCUGUUGCUUUAGCAUCGCUUUCUGGCUGACUCUAUUUUCCCCUUUGUGCCUACUUAGAAAAAAAAUAAAUUACAAAGUUGUCUGAUGGUACAAAAAUGACAGUUCUAAUGAGCAUCAAAUAAACUCAGUUUAGGUGUGUGCAGUGAUAUUUAGCUGUCUGGACAGAUGCUUUUGACAAUCCUCCUACAUCUUUCCCAUCACCUUUUCAUUACUCUGUUCAGAUCUUUAGGCAUUAGACUUUGCCUCUGAUAUCCAAACGUGGAUUCUUUAGGUUAAGGAGAAGUAUAAUACCUGUUUAUCUUACUAAGAUAGGUGUCUAAGGCAGUCUGUCAUUUGAAACAAACCAUAUUUUCUUAUUACAGAUAUAGAAGAUGAUGCAAUUUUUGAAGUGUUUCCUCUUUUUAGAAAGAAUUACAUUAUUAAGAAAUUAACGUGGAGAAAACUUGAAAUUAAUUAAAAUCAGCCACUAUUGUUUUAACAAGCAACUGUUGACUGUGUUUGGCCUAAAAACAAAUGAUUAGUGACUAGGAGCUUUGCUUAACCAAAGUUAAGAAAUAAACAAAAUUUGCAGAGUUAGCUGAUUUUGCCUGACAUACACAAAUGCACUUCCAGUCUUCCCUGGCUGUCUACAAUGAGAUCAGAAGUAAUUUAGUAUGAGUCAGGUGGAGGUGAAGAAAAACAGUCAAAUGUACUUGUAUUUGCAAGCAAUGUCCAUCAAAAUUCAAGAAUGGCUGGAUUUGAGUAAAUGCUGAUCUUUUCAUAGACAGUUCCUACACAUUCACUGAUCUAGCAUACCAGAUACAGUCCAGAGAAUCUUGCUUUAUACAGAGAUAUGCAGCUUUGCAUUUAAUCUUAAUAUUCAGAGACUGUAUUCCUUUUAGUUGCUCAAGUGUAACACUAUAAUGGUUAUGUAAACUGGUGCUUACAUUGAGAUGUUAUUUUGACAUGAAUUUUGGUGCCAUAUGUAAACAUCAAAGGUGUAUAAUAACCACCCUCGGUACAGGUCCCAGUUCCAUUUAGGAAGAGGAAAUAUUGUGAUUUUUUUUUUUUUUUGACAAAAUGGCAAUGUGAAUUUAGAUUUUUGCACAACUGAAUUGCAGUUUGUAAAUAAAAGCAGCACACUCAAUUAGAAGUGGGAUAACAGUGGAUUUGUUGCCUGACUCUACCAAUGAUUUUCUUAAUAUGCAAUCCACUUGUUAAUGAUGUUAUCAGUUAUUUUACUGUAAAUUAGCUAUUGUAAGCUUCAGGUCUUUCUGCAAUGUCUGUGUUAGGUUACAGAAGCAUAAAUCAAACUCCCAUCUCUUUUUACAUCCAUAACCAUAAUGUACGGCUUUUAUUAGGAAAUGUUAAGUGUCUUAAUAAUGUCUUUUUAAUGGACAGUGUGUGCAUGUGUUAAUGAGGAAAGCCAUUUUCUUUCAUGCAAAAUAUUAGUGCAUGUGGCCUUCAUCUCCAUAGAUACAAGUUAAAGAAUCAUAUUUAACUCACAAAAUAUUCACUGUAUUCAUAUUUAUCUAAUUUUAACAAUCCUUUAAGGAAAGAACAAGUUAGAAGUAAAUCAGAAGUUGAAUUCUAACAGGCAUGCAGAAGUGAUUGUGAAUAAAUGGUACAAAAUCCACUCUAAAAACCCACUCCCAACAAACCCAAAUUUUAUAAUUUACUACUGCUAAAUCGAAAUACCCUUAGAGAAUUUGUAUCCUUCUAGAAUUCCAGCCUGUGCAUCACAAAGACUCCUAGUAUUGGUUAUAAAUCUUUGUCCUUCUCAUAAAAUAUCAUAAUGCCUCCAAGCAAAAGGGUGUUUUAACUUCUGUAUCCUUUCCACUGGGACAACGUUAUCCAUUUGAACCGCUUUUGAACCGCUUCCCAAAAUCUUGAACAAGCACAUUACUUUCACUUGAAAUGUGUUUUACCAACAGAUUCCAGGGUACUAGAGAGAUCUGCUUUUCACAUUGUCAGCUAACACUGGGCUUGUUAAAUUAAUGGAAACCAAGCAUUUUGAAGGAUACCCUACAGCCUUGCAUUUCCAUGCUCCCUUGGCAGAAAUCAGGGAUUUGAAAGCUGCAAUACAACAGCAUCAUCUUUUCAUCUUGUGGUAAGGAAUCUAUUAUUCCUUUAUCCUCCAUGCUGUUUAAAGGAAUUCAUUUAAAGUAUGAACUCCUUUGUUCAGGGAGGAAGUCUCCAAAUGAUACGCAAACAAGAACCUUUAGAAAUGUAGCAAGAUAAAAUUCCAGGCUCUGCUCCAGCUUUCCCCAUUCAUUCAGUUUGCAGAACUGGUGUCUCCCUGCUGGAGAUCUCUGCUCAGAUCAAGUCUCCGCCAGCUGCUAUUCCACCACCCAUUCAUACAUGGCCAGCUCCCCUCUCCUUGCUCCUUGCACCUCUACUUCUCUUUCCUCCAUCCAUCCAAAUCUCUCCCUAAUCUGAUACCAUUUCUUUGAUCCUUCUCAGGAACACUGAUCACCCUCCCCCACCAAGGCACCACUCAUCUCUACCCAGGGCUGGCAGCAAUUAAGCUGGAACAAAGGUCCAUUUAAGAGUAAAGCCUAUGCCAACCAAUUUCUUUAUAUAAAGAAAGCACUAUCCUCCAUCUGUUUCCCUAGUUAUCAAAUUGACUAUCUUGGGAGUUAAUCCUGCUGCUGUUCCUAAAGCAAAUGUUUUCAGUACUUUUGAUUUCAGGAGCAGAAUCAGGCCCUCAUUAAUGUAAUUAUCCUCAUAGCAUGAGGAGGUGCCUACUUGAAGCAAUCGGAUGACUGUUACAGACCAUUUUUAUCCACACCUAUUCUGUGAACUGCACCAGUGUGCAUUCCCUUUCCAAAACAACUGCAGGCACCAGGAGGGGAGGAGCUGUCCUUCAGUAGCAGGCAAGAAACCUGUCAAACACAGUGUCCCUUCAACAUGAAUGAAACCAUUUUCUCUGAUUAAUACUUUGCAUUUCCCACAAGGGAAAAAGACAGAGUGAGCAGCUGAAUUACCCAUUUUCAGAGAAGCAUGUUCAUAAAUAUUUAACUUGGUAUGUAUGAGAAAAGAGAAAGGCACUGACUUCCUUUCCAGUCCAGGCUGAAACUCUCCAAAUCCCCUGGUACCACUGAGACUGCCUGCUCCCAUAAUCCUUCCUCCAUCUCGUAAAGAGCCAUUAGCUUGUAACAGGGCUGGACAAGGUGUCUCUCUUCACUGGGGGAUGUCUGACUGUAAAAAUCUAUGCAUAGAGGAAAAUGAUCUGGUGUAAUGGAGACCUCUCUGGCCCAUGACUGGGACCUGUCCCCAAGCUGUUCUAGGAGUUUUAGGAGCCUAUUAGAAAAUACUACUGGGUCUCUGGAGGCCCACAUCUGAGUUCACAAGCUUGGGCCCUGGCGUCUACUCGUAUGCAUGGGGCCUGCUUGAGCGUGUGGGUUACAUCCCCACAGAGCCCACAUGGUUUUUGUAUUGCCACACACACGGAUGGCUGCUCUGCUCUGACAGUGGAGAGAACCCUGGUGAUGCUGGAAGUGGAACCACGGGGAAGUUUGAGUGUUUUGAUGAGGCUGUUGAUUG